UACGGAGGAUGCAAGCGUUAUCCGGAAUCAUUGGGCGUAAAGCGUCUGUAGGUGGCUUGGUAAGUCUGCUGUUAAAGAGUACAGCUUAACUGUAUAAAGGCAGUGGAAACUACUAGGCUUGAGUGUGGUAGGGGCAGAGGGAAUUCCCGGUGUAGCGGUGAAAUGCGUAGAUAUCGGGAAGAACACCAACGGCGAAAGCACUCUGCUGGGCCAACACUGACACUGAGAGACGACAGCUAGGGGAGCAAAUGGG
rnacentral:rRNA from 1 species